AGUGAACGCUGGCGGUAGGCCUAACACAUGCAAGUCGAACGGCAGCACAGUAAGAGCUUGCUCUUACGGGUGGCGAGUGGCGGACGGGUGAGGAAUACAUCGGAAUCUACUUUUUCGUGGGGGAUAACGUAGGGAAAUUUACGCUAAUACCGCAUACGACCUACGGGUGAAAGCAGGGGAUCUUUGGACCUUGUGCGAUUGAAUGAGCCGAUGUCGGAUUAGCUAGUUGGCUGGGUAAAGGCCCACCAAGGCGACGAUGCGUAGCUGGUCUGAGGGGAUGAUCAGACAGACUGGAACUGAGACACGGCCCAGACUCCUACAGGAGGCAGCAGUCGGGAAUCUUAGGCGAUGGGCGAGAGCCUGAUCCAGCCAUACCGCGUGAGUGAAGAAGGCCUUCGGGUUGUAAAGCCCUUUUGUUGGGAAAGAAAAGCAGCAGGUUAAUACCCCGCUGUUCUGACGGUACCCAAAGAAUAAGCACCGGCUAACUUCGUG
rnacentral:rRNA from 1 species